rnacentral:rRNA from 1 species
UACGUAGGGGGCUAGCGUUGUCCGGAAUCAUUGGGCGUAAAGAGCGUGUAGGCGGCCCGGUAAGUCCGCUGUGAAAGUCGGGGGCUCAACCCUCGAAUGCCGGUGGAUACUGUCGGGCUAGAGUGCGGAAGAGGCGAGUGGAAUUCCUGGUGUAGCGGUGAAAUGCGCAGAUAUCAGGAGGAACACCAAUAGCGAAGGCAGCUCGCUGGGACGUUACUGACACUGAGGCGCGAAAGCGUGGGGAGCGAACAGG